GAUGAAGAACGCAGUGAAAUGCGAUAAGUAGUGUGAAUUGCAGAAUUCAGUGAAUCAUCGAAUCUUUGAACGCACAUUGCGCCCUUUGGUAUUCCUUAGGGCAUGCCUGUUCGAGCGUCAUUUAAACCUUCAAGCUCAGCUUGGUGUUGGGUGACUGUCCGCCGCCUCCGGGCGCGUGGACUCGCCUCAAAAUUAUUGGCGGCCGGUACAUUGGCUUCGAGCGCAGCGGAAACGCGAACUCGGGCCCGUCGUAUUGGCUCCCAGAAGCUAUCUUCACAAUUUUGACCUCGGAUCAGGUAGGGAUACCCGCUGAACUUAAGCAUAUCAAUAAGCGGAGGA
rnacentral:misc_RNA from 1 species